UUAGGAAUUUUGCGCAAUGGACGAAAGUCUGACGCAGCGACACCGCGUGGAGGAUGACGGCCUUCGGGUUGUAAACUCCUUUUGACUCCUCAUGAAGGGGAGUAGAAUAAGCAGCUACUAACUACGUGCCAGCAGUCGCGGUAAUACGUAGGCUGCAAGCGUUACCCGGAUUUACUGGGCGUAAAGCGUCUGUAGGUGGUUUGAAAAGUCUUGUUUCAAAGACCCCGACUUAAUCGGGGAAAGGGGCAAGAUACUGUCAAGCUAGAGUUAUUUAGAGGUUACUGGAAUUUGUAGUGUAGGGGUAAAAUCCGUGGAUACUACAAAGAACACCGAUGGCGAAGGCAGGUAACCAGAAAUAUACUGACACUGAGAGACUAAAGCUAGGGUAGCAAAUCAGAUU
rnacentral:rRNA from 1 species